UUUGUUAUUAACGCAGCCCAUAUUUAGCAAUGUGUCUCCGAAGGAAAAAAGCACAUAGUUUCAUCUGAACAAAGCCCCAUCGCCGUACAGCCAGGUCCCCGGGGACCUCUGGAUCCCAUUUUGCAUGGCCAAAUAAGAUGGAAAUUGCACAGAUGAAAAUGCAUUCCUGGUCCCCAGUCAGUCAAUCUCUGGGAUGCAAGGAGCCACAAUCCCUGCCCACAGGUGAGCCCUGCCAUUAGCCUGCUGCCACGCCCUCCCGUCUGAGAAACAGCUGAGGUAUCGUACUGGGAGAUCAGAGAUGAUCCACUCAGUCUUGCCUUAAUCUCCUAGACCCACAGCAGAGCUCUGGUCUGUAUUCCACAUGCUCAGGCUCACGAACAGUCUACCCUCACAAAACUGGAAAUAGCCCCUGAUGUAGCCUGCUCUGUGAGGGCACUGUGGGCAGCUCUCCCUGCAUCUCCUCACAAGGCCCUGGGCCUACGACGGGCGGUCCUCAUCCUCCUCACAGCUGCUGCCUCCCACAUGGCUGCUGCACCCUUCCCCUCACACUGCCAGCCAAUCUGCCUCUCCUGCAACACUUUUUAUUUCUAUUUUUUCUCAUUUCUUCCCAUUUUCUCCUGCUAUGAAGGGACCCGAUCUAGACAAGAAAGCUUGGAGGCUGCAGAAGGGAUCUUCCCUGCAUGAUGUUUUUAAUCCUUGGCCCCCUCUGCUUCAGUCAACACCACAAGUGCCUUCCACUACAACAGUCCAUUUGUUGCUUAGGAAUUAAACAUUGACUAAACACAUCAUUCUGCAUAGGCCAUUGAACUGGAAGAAUGUUUGGUGAGCUCAGCAGCUAGAGCUUUAUUAACCAUCUCUAGUGACCUUCUCCUUCAGCGAGGCAAAUGCAACGCAGUGGUUUGGUUUCAGACCCUUUCCACGUUCUCCCUCUGUAACCCACAACACUCCUAAAGCUCUAACGCCCACAUUAAAAAGCUCUGCCCACAGGUAGUCCCUUACUCACCUAUCCCACCAGAGUAUAAAGCUUACAUGGUUCCAUGCUUCACCAUUCCCUGCUCUCUCCAGACUGGUUUAGACCUUCUCAAGAGCACCGCCAUCACAUGCAUCUGCUGAUCUUGUUGCCAGACUGGUAAGUGGAAGUGCUGCAAUCCCAUUCCAAGGGGAGAUGGUUUCGUUUAGUAUGCCUGCAAUGUUUAACAACGCACUAGAGAGCAGGUCAGCUGAAGGUGUGUUGACACAAAACAGCCAAGAGAUAAGACAACAAAUGGAGCUUUACAAACAUCAGCAAGUCCAUCAUGCAACAGGAUGAUAACAGAAGUCCAGAAAUCCCCCCUAGGGGUGGAGACUCCCUCCGCAAAUAGCAAAAUAACCAUGAAAUGCAUUCUGGAGUAAUUACAUUCUGAAUACAGGUCUGGAAAAGCUGCUUUGGGCUUCUCACUCUUAGGCACUUAGCAACAGGAAGAAAAGAUAUGUGAGAAUUCUUUGCAUUUUCUGAAUUUUCCUUUAGUUCACAACCACCCUUCUAUGCUGAAUUUAGUGCUAUCAAAAGAGAAGAACACAGGAAAGCUCACAUUUCCCUCAAAUGCAGUGCCAGUAUUUCCUGCUGCCAGAUGAUCAGGAGGGAAAAGCUUUGAAUUUUAGGUGACCACCUGUGGUUGCCAGUCAAGACAACAAAAAACCCCAACAAACUAAGAACGCCUCUAUCACCUCACUGGACCUAGACUGCAUUCCAUUUGGUGGCGCUUUGCCAGUGCUAAUAAUUGAGGAUAAUGGUUAAGUGCUUUUGAGUUUCAAAGGCAGCUUUCAACACUUGUCCUAGACUAAUCAGCUGUAGGAAAAAAAAAAAAUAAUAAAAAAGUCAGUCUGAACACUGUCUCAACCUGGAGCCAGAAAGCCAUACCUAAUCUAAUUAAAUUCUCUUACAGAAUACAGCUAUAUGCACCAGCUAUCUCUGAGCUAGGAAAACAACAGCACCAGCAUUAGUAACAAGACUCACUGGGCAGGGUAGGCAUGUCCCGACCAACAGGAAUCCAGCAAGACAGGAACAAAAAGGAAAUGUGAUAACAGAUUUGAGGUACCUAACAUGAGACGAUAUCUAUUUGUUCCCUCUCCUGCCCUAUCACACAUAGGAUUCUUUAAGAGGAGGAGGACAACGUGUGGUGCACUGAAAUGUUAGAGAUGGUAUCUUGGCAUAUAUGCUGGAGCCUAACUGUGACCUGGGGGUCAGCAUUCCCCAGGCAGGUGUGUCUCACAUCUUCAGGAGGAGCAAGGUAGCACAUAUAUACCCACUGCACUUUGCAGAAGUCACUUUUGUGUUUGUAUGAGGGAGUUUGGUUUCAGUCUGCUCAACACAGAGUGUAUGCAGAUCUAUACAUUUGCAGCCCUUGGUACCACAGUAGGAGCAUUCUCAAGCUUCAAUGAAUGUGGCGCAACACCACUGUGAUCUGGGCAGGUAUUAAGAUCACCACUGUAAUUUUCAGCAUAUUAGAAGGUACAUUUUUUUCCCCUAAGGAUGAGAAUGCAAUUUAUUUGUUUACCACUAUCAGUUUUUUUUCCAUGACUUUUGCAAGGCUUGAAGACAUCCAUGAAAUAAGUCCCCACCUGUUGGUUCCACAGGCAUCUUAGGUCUACAGAUACCACUAGAAUGAUAUGGACCCAAGGAAAGCAAGAACCUGGAAAUAGGGCAGGGCAACUGACCCUCUAACAACAAGAGGGCAGGUGGUAGAGGCCUGGCGUACCUCCGCACCUCCUGGCUGGCACUCCUUGUGAACUGAGGAACAGAAGUAUACACACGUACCCAGCAUUACAUUUCUGCGAGCAUGACAGUGGUAAAAAGCACUUUCAAUCUCAGCUUUUCCAAAGUGCCCCAACCAAGCGCUCACAUGCAGCAUGGCAGGAUAAUGAGAAUUUCAAGUUGACUGCUUGCUUGCCAUCUACAAAGCAUACAUCUUUAGUGAAAGCUCUGGUGUCCUCUGGAGGCUGGAUUUCCAGCUUGUUUCUCACUCUGCUAAAGCCAUUGCUGCAACAGUUUCUAUAGCCUUUUCUGCUCCGAAAUCUGCAGUAUAGUGAUAUAGCAGAGAACAAAUUCACUGUUCAAUCUCAUUUCACUCCUGGGUAAGCAGAAUUUCACUACAGUCAUAAUCUUGAGGUCCCUGGUGCUUAUUGUUAACACUGCCUGCAACCUUCGUCAGCCCUGGAAAGGGAACAACCUAGCCCCAAGACAGGAGGAAGGAACUAAAUGCAGAAAGGAAAUUAAACUACUCAGAAGCCCUUGUUCUUCGCAUUAAAGGCAAAAAGGAAAGACUAAUUGUCUAGCUUAUUGCCACAAAUAAGCACAUUUUUAGUGGUCUAACUUUCAGCAAUUUUUUCCAAGAGAUAGCAGUCGAACAAACAAGUCUGAGAACACAAUCCUCCUUGUGCACAAAAUCCAGAUGGCAUCACCAAAUCCCUUUCCAGAUAUAGCACUAUGAAAACAAAUGAUUAACUGUUAGGAGACACCAAGGUCCUCAAAGUUACGUAACCAUUUGCACAUGUAAACUACUGUCGCGGCAGCCUUGUUCUCCUUUUGUGAAGUUCUCAAUUCAACAACCCUACCCUGAGUUUUGGAUUUGCCUUGAAACUUUCAGCCUGGAAAGGUUUGCCUGGUUUCGGGCAUGAUUGUCAACACCAUGCAUGGCUACACACUGGACAUAUCCAGCAUGCAGGGGAAAAACAGUCUUGAGAAACACCAGCUCAUCAUUCUAUAAACACAUCCGUGGUGUGCAACAAAAGCGGCAACAUGGUGAGACAGCUUGCAUCAUUUAUCUUCAGACAACCCCAUUACCAAGGGGUACGUUUCAAGACAGAUUUAUGGAGGGCCAGAAGAGGAUUAUCUUUGUGAUGCACACGUUUUUUUGGUUUCACAUUUGGCAAUGAGCAAAGUGCAUUUUUCGAGCAAUAACCGCUAUCUCACGGGAUGAGACGGCUGUUUCUAAUGCUGUGAAGUUCAAAUCACCACUCCUCUACAGAAUGCAAAGUUAUAGGAAGAGCUCUGCCAUGAGAUAUGUAGGCUGAAAUACUAGCAGUUGUUAUUUCCCUCUGAAGAAAAGCCUGGCUUGUUCCAUUUUAUUUGCUGCCAGCGUAGUCAAGUUCAGCACUUUUGUAAUCAUGACACUUUAUUUAACUUAUCAGAUGAACUUUGCGCUGGAUGUGAUUCAAAGGAUGAACUUCAUGUAAUAAUUUCUUCUGAAGAAAUCCCCCAACCCCCCCCCCCCCCC